UGACUGAGCGGCGGACGGGUGAGUAACGCGUGGGUAACCUGCCUCAUACAGGGGGAUAACAGUUGGAAACGGCUGCUAAUACCGCAUAAGCGCACAGUACCGCAUGGUACGGUGUGAAAAACUCCGGUGGUAUGAGAUGGACCCGCGUCUGAUUAGGUAGUUGGUGGGGUAACGGCCUACCAAGCCGACGAUCAGUAGCCGACCUGAGAGGGUGACCGGCCACAUUGGGACUGAGACACGGCCCAAACUCCUACGGGAGGCAGCAUG
rnacentral:rRNA from 1 species